CUUUCGGCCAUCACAACAGCCAUACCUAGAGGAGAAGUUCCCAAGGAGUACUCUGUGUAAGCAAGGAGCAUCAAGAAGGCGAGUACCUCUAGCAUAGAUAUAAAUUGAUGGGUUCCGACAUACUCACUGAUAAAACGAUGAUAGACCACAGUGAAACACCACGAGAAGAGAAUACAGGAGACAUGGAUAUGGACUUUGGAGAUGCACGGAAAGAAUCCAUUGAGGGUUGAGAUGCGAUGUCGCUGAAAGGGGACGAAGAUUCACAACAUAAAAAUGUUGAAGAGGUUAUAUCUCAUGACAAACCAAAAAAGGAUGCUAAUUUAGUUAUUUUCCCAUAAGACUAUGUUUGUACCGCUAGGGAUAUUACAGUCAUCAAAUCAAUCAAGUCUGCCCCGAAGAAUACCUAGUUCGUAGACAUUGGAGAUGCCUUGUUAUCAACCGACGAUUUUGAA